NNNNUUAUACAGAUCCAGUAGAAGCUGUAAAAGAUAUCCCUGAUGGGGCAACGGUUCUGGUUGGUGGUUUUGGGCUCUGUGGAAUUCCAGAGAAUCUUAUAGGAGCUUUAUUAAAGACUGGAGUUAAAGGAUUAACUGCAAUCAGCAAUAAUGCAGGGGUUGAUAACUUUGGCUUGGGUCUUUUACUUCGAUCCAAGCAAAUAAAACGCAUGGUCUCUUCNAUCUCUUUUA
rnacentral:lncRNA from 1 species